ACGGUAAUGUUAGUGGUUUUACAUGCUUUUUAGAUGAUUGGAUAAACAUUUUUGCAUUAAGUUUACAAACUUCUGCGUUGAAGAACAAUCCUCAUGAAAUUAAGGGACAAAUUGAAAUGUUGCCAAAUAAUAUUUGCAAAAUUAAGCAAAUGACCUGCACAUGUAAAGCAGGUUUAGGAGGACAGUGCAAACAUGUAUCGGCCGUUCUUCGUUGCACCAGGUUGAACCGUUUCUUUUUUAUUUAUGGCAUUUUAUCAAGCCCGUCAAUUUUCAAUGACAUAAACAAUUGUGUUAUUUUUAGGGUUUUGGUUUUGCUGUGUGUUGUUUUGUGUUUCAAGAUAUCAUUCACCAAGUUAGAAAAAGCUUCACCAACGGACGGUAGCUGUCCAUGGAACAAAAAUAAACGGUUGCAUCUGGAAGAAUACAGUCCAAGACCUCUAAAUAGUUUUAGUUGUUUUGAAACUGUUGUACCUACAGCGUUGCCCAAACAAUUGCAGGAGGAUUGUCGGGCAAAUUUACUUAGUGCAGCACCGAACUCGGCGUUAGCAAUAUAUAAAAAAAGAUGUAGCAGGGACCUACCAACGUCCCAAAUAACUACUACAUGUACAAUCGACGCAAAUCUUGAAGCCGCAUUAAGUCUCGUUUGUAGUUCAAGUUCUUUAGUGAACAUAACUUGUACAGAUGUUUUAAUUGGACCAGUGAGGGAAUGUUGCCAAAAUAUUUAUGACUUGCUACAUAAUUUUGACUACAAAACACUUUGUCACCAAACCUUUUUAUCUAAAGAAUUGUGGUUCAAAGAAAGACAGUUCAGAAUCACCGGUUCAAGGUGUUAUGGGAUCUACACCUAUAACAAGACUGACUGGGAAAAUAAAAGCAUAAAAUAUUUUUGGCCCAAAAAAUUUUCCAAUAAAACUACACGACAUGGCAUCGAGUGUGAGUUCUUGGCCCGUCAGAUCUACGAAAAAGUUGAAAAGGUGACCGUCAUUCAAUGUGGACUAAUAGUUCCGCCUCAAAGCCCUUUUUUGGCCUACUCCCCUAAUGGAGUAGUGAUGAAAAAUAUGAAACCAUGGAAACUUUUAGAAAUAAAGUGCCCUGUUGCAGGGAAAGAGUCUAGUACGGUAGAUCUAAUAAAAACGUGUGCCUAUUUGGAAAGAAGAAAUGAUGAAAUAACUCUUAAGAGACGGCAUUCAUAUUACGGUCAAGUCCAGUUAGGAAUGGCAAUUUUGAAUGUAACAGAAUGCGAUUUCAUUGUAUUUUCUAAGAAAGAAAUCCAUUAUAUUAAUAUUUCAGUUCCUUUUCAUUCAGAAUUUGUAAAGAUUAUGUUAAGAACUUUAAAGU